AGAGUUUGAUCCUGGCUCAGAUUGAACGCUGGCGGAAUGCUUUACACAUGCAAGUCGAGCGGCAGCGCGGGGGCAACCCUGGCGGCGAGCGGCGAACGGGUGAGUAAUGUAUCGGAACGUACCCAGUCGUGGGGGAUAACUAUCCGAAAGGAUAGCUAAUACCGCAUACGUCCUGAGGGAGAAAGCGGGGGAUCGCAAGACCUCGCGCGAUUGGAGCGGCCGAUAUCGGAUUAGCUAGUUGGUGAGGUAAAGGCUCACCAAGGCGACGAUCCGUAGCUGGUCUGAGAGGACGACCAGCCACACUGGAACUGAGACACGGUCCAGACUCCUACGGGAGGCAGCAGUGGGGAAUUUUGGACAAUGGGGGCAACCCUGAUCCAGCCAUUCCGCGUGAGUGAAGAAGG
rnacentral:rRNA from 1 species